rnacentral:rRNA from 1 species
UUUCGAAUUAUUCACAAUGGGCGAAAGCCUGAUGGUGCGACGCCGCGUGAGGGAUGAAGGUCUUCGGAUUGUAAACCUCUGUCACCGGGGAAGAAUGGCUAUGACCUAAUACGUCAUGGUUUGACUUAACCCGGAGAGGAAGCAGUGGCUAACUCUGUGCCAGCAGCCGCGGUAAUACAGAGACUGCAAGCGUUAUUCGGAUUCACUGGGCGUAAAGGGUGCGCAGGCGGUUGCAUGUGUUGGGUGUGAAAGCCCGGGGCUCAACCCCGGAAUUGCGCCCAAAACUAUGCGACUAGAGUACCGGAGAGGAUAGCGGAAUUCACGGUGUAGCAGUGAAAUGCGUAGAUAUCGUGAAGAACACCAGCGGCGAAGGCGGCUAUCUGGAAGGUAACUGACGCUCAGGCGCGAAAGCGUGGGGAGCAAAAG